AAUCUUCUAAGUUGGAGGAACUUUCCAGAACGCUUGGUGAGAGGCGGAGGAGCGGUAGCUGCCCGAGCUGCGCACAGCUCCGCACAGCUCUGCGCUCCUUCCCGCUCCCUCACACACCGACCUCAGUCCGCUCACCGGCAGUAGAAGAUGGUGAAAGAAACCACUUACUACGAUGUUUUGGGAGUCAAACCCAAUGCUACUCAGGAAGAAUUGAAAAAGGCUUAUAGGAAACUGGCCUUGAAGUACCAUCCUGAUAAGAAUCCAAAUGAAGGAGAGAAGUUUAAACAGAUAUCUCAAGCUUACGAAGUUCUCUCUGAUGCAAAGAAAAGGGAAUUAUAUGACAAAGGAGGAGAACAGGCAAUUAAAGAGGGUGGAGCAGGUGGCGGUUUUGGCUCUCCCAUGGACAUCUUUGAUAUGUUUUUUGGAGGAGGAGGAAGGAUGCAGAGAGAAAGGAGAGGUAAAAAUGUUGUACAUCAGCUCUCAGUAACCCUAGAAGACUUAUAUAAUGGUGCAACAAGAAAACUGGCUCUGCAAAAGAAUGUGAUUUGUGACAAAUGCGAAGGUAGAGGAGGUAAGAAAGGAGCAGUAGAGUGCUGUCCCAAUUGCCGAGGUACUGGAAUGCAAAUAAGAAUUCAUCAGAUAGGACCUGGAAUGGUUCAGCAAAUUCAGUCUGUGUGCAUGGAGUGCCAGGGCCAUGGGGAGCGGAUCAGUCCUAAAGAUAGAUGUAAAAGCUGCAAUGGAAGGAAGAUAGUUCGAGAGAAGAAGAUUCUAGAAGUUCAUAUUGACAAAGGCAUGAAAGAUGGCCAGAAGAUAACAUUCCAUGGUGAAGGAGACCAAGAACCAGGACUGGAGCCAGGAGAUAUAAUCAUUGUGUUAGAUCAGAAGGACCAUGCUGUUUUUACUCAACGAGGAGAAGACCUUUUCAUGUGUAUGGACAUACAGCUGGUUGAAGCACUGUGUGGCUUCCAAAAGCCAAUAUCUACUCUUGACAACCGAACCAUAGUCAUCACCUCUCAUCCAGGUCAGAUUGUCAAGCAUGGAGAUAUCAAGUGUGUACUAAAUUAAGGCAUGCCAAUUUAUCGUAGACCAUAUGAAAAGGGUCGCCUAAUCAUUGAAUUUAAGGUAAACUUCCCUGAGAAUGGCUUUCUCUCUCCUGAUAAACUGUCUUUGCUGGAAAAACUCCUACCGGAGAGGAAGGAAGUGGAAGAGACUGAUGAGAUGGAUCAAGUAGAACUGGUGGACUUUGAUCCAAAUCAGGAAAGACGGCGCCAUUACAAUGGAGAAGCGUAUGAGGAUGAUGACCAUCACCCCAGAGGUGGUGUUCAGUGUCAGACCUCUUAAUGGGCCAGUGAAUAACACUCACUGCUGGCAUUUUAUGUGCAGUAGUGAAUGAGUAAGGAUGUAAUCAUAAUAUGCUCACUACUUGCUCUUGUUUUUGUUUUAAUCAACUAUAGUAGUGUUUUAAAAAGUUAAAUGAAGAAUAAAGGCAAAUAUAAAA